rnacentral:rRNA from 1 species
UACGGAGGGGGCUAGCGUUGUUCGGAAUUACUGGGCGUAAAGCGCGCGUAGGCGGACCUGCAAGUCGGGGGUGAAAGCCCGAGGCUCAACCUCGGAACUGCCUUCGAUACUGCGGGUCUCGAGUCCGGGAGAGGUGAGUGGAAUUCCUAGUGUAGAGGUGAAAUUCGUAGAUAUUAGGAAGAACACCAGUGGUGAAGGCGGCUCACUGGCCCGGUACUGACGCUGAGGUGCGAAAGCGUGGGGAGCAAACAGG